rnacentral:misc_RNA from 1 species
UCUCCGUUGGUGAACCAGCGGAGGGAUCAUUACCGAGUUUACAACUCCCAAACCCAAUGUGAACCAUACCAAACUGUUGCCUCGGCGGGGUCACGCCCCGGGUGCGCCGCAGCCCCGGAACCAGGCGCCCGCCGGAGGGACCAACCAAACUCUUUCUGUAGUCCCCUCGCGGACGUUAUUUUUACAGCUCUGAGCAAAAAUUCAAAAUGAAUCAAAACUUUCAACAACGGAUCUCUUGGUUCUG